CAGUCGCCGCGGGAAUACGAAGGGGGCUAGCGUUGCUCGGAAUGACUGGGCGUAAAGGGCGCGUAGGCGGCGAUCAAAGUCAGGCGUGAAAUUCCUGGGCUCAACCUGGGGGCUGCGCUUGAUACUUGGUUGCUUGAGUGGGGAAGAGGGUCGUGGAAUUCCCAGUGUAGAGGUGAAAUUCGUAGAUAUUGGGAAGAACACCGGUGGCGAAGGCGGCGACCUGGUCCUUGACUGACGCUGAGGCGCGAAAGCGUGGGGAGCAAACAGGAUUAGAUACCCCAGUAGUCCCUGUCUCUUAUAA
rnacentral:rRNA from 1 species